GUUUGAUUAUGCAUUUAAGCAUAGACAAUGACUUCUAGAAAAAGCAUAACCAAUGAUGCCUAGUUAUGCUAGGUUUGAGAAGCACAUAUAGAUUACCCUGAAGCAUCAGGCACUUUUAUGCGUAUCAUGAACGCUAAUUAUAACUCCUUAAGUCCACUAGAUAAUGAAUCUAUAACCAGGCAUGCACUUUUUAUGGAUAAAAUGAGCAUUUGAUUAUGAGAGCAAGCUACCCAGUUUAAUCAAAUUUUGAAAAAUUAUUUUGCAAUGUCCCAACACAUUUAUUGGCUAGGCAAAUGUCCAAAGAAAGUAGCAGCAUACCGCUAAUUUGCUUUGACAACCUAGAAAACUAACAGCACUGCGAUAGCAAUAACGGCAAAGUAGAAGAGGCUAAACCUGAAUCUUGU
rnacentral:misc_RNA from 1 species